rnacentral:rRNA from 1 species
AACGUAGGUGGCGAGCGUUAUCCGGAUUUACUGGGCGUAAAGGGUGUGCAGGCGGGCCAUUAAGUGGUGUAUGAAAUAUCCCGGCUCAACCGGGAGAGGUUAUGCCAGACUGGUGGUCUAGAGAGCGAGAGAGGGACGUGGAAUUCCGGGUGUAGUGGUGAAAUGCGUAGAGAUCCGGAGGAACACCAGUGGCGAAGGCGACUUUCUGGCCUGUUCUUGACGCUGAGGCGCGAAAGCUAGGGGAGCAAACGGG